rnacentral:rRNA from 1 species
GUUGGGAAUAUUGCGCAAUGGAGGAAACUCUGACGCAGCGACGCCGCGUGAGCGAAGAAGGCCUUCGGGUUGUAAAGCUCUGUCGAAUGGGAAGAAUGUAUGUAUGGCUAAUAUCCAUACAUGUUGACGGUACCAUUGGAGGAAGCACCGGCUAACUCUGUGCCAGCAGCCGCGGUAAUACAGAGGGUGCAAGCGUUGUUCGGAAUCACUGGGCGUAAAGCGUUCGUAGGCGGACUUGUUAGUAUAGGGUUAAAGCCCAGGGCCUAACCCUGGAAUCGCUCGAUAAACGGCAAGUCUAGAGUAUUGGAGAGGAUAGUGGUAUUCCCGGUGUAGAGGUGAAAUUCGUAGAUAUCGGGAAGAACACCAGAGGCGAAGGCGACUAUCUGGACAAGCACUGACGCUAAAGAACGAAAGCGUGGGGAUCAAACAGGAUUAGAUACCCUUGUAGUCC